UACGAAGGGGGCUAGCGUUGCUCGGAAUCACUGGGCGUAAAGGGCGCGUAGGCGGACUCUUAAGUCGGGGGUGAAAGCCCAGGGCUCAACCCUGGAAUUGCCUUCGAUACUGAGAGUCUUGAGUUCGGAAGAGGUUGGUGGAACUGCGAGUGUAGAGGUGAAAUUCGUAGAUAUUCGCAAGAACACCAGUGGCGAAGGCGGCCAUCUGGACCGCAACUGACGCUGAGGCGCGAAAGCGUGGGGAGCAAACAGG
rnacentral:rRNA from 1 species